UGUGCCUGGAGAGAGGGAGGGUCUGACCCUUGGGAAGGGUGCUGGCGGGGUGUGGGCGGGAGGUGAACCUUUGCAAUGUCCAAUCAGAAGGCUAAGUGUUAAGAUAACAAGAGCCGAUAUUUAGCAGUCGAUAAGUGCAACAUGUAAGCAGUUUGUUCAAAUGCAGCUCAAAGGCUGUCCCCAAAGUUAAACUUAGUAUGGCGCCUACCCACUCAAUCCAGUUACCCACCCCAUUUCAGGGUGGAUAUGUGAACUAUCACUAAUUUUGGUUCUUCUAACGAAUAAAACAUUUAAACCUAGCUGUUCAGGAAAGCAAACAAGUUUAAAACUACAGCCAUGCUGCAGUUAAACUCAAUAGACUUACUCAGAGCAAAAUACAUGUUCCCUGAACGCAGUUGAAAGUUAACAUAGUUGUAUUAGAUGUCGGAAUAUCUGUUUAAAUGGAGCCGUGAGCUUUCCCAAUGUAGACAGGGCUCCUCGAAACGUGGCAGUGUCCCCCCUGCAGCUGCAGAGCGAGACAGGAGAGUUUGUUUUUGUGAAUGAGCAGUUGUAGCGCGAGGUGGCUGUUGCUUGGUGACGGUGAGGCUCCUCCGGCCCCGCCCAUCCCCCCGUGCAGACGUCACGCGGGGGCGAAGGCGGUUGGGAGGAGAAGUCGCUCGAGCGGGGAAGCGGCGGCCGUUAGGAAAAUGGCGCCGUGCGGCCCGGGGCAGACCCCCGUCAUUGGUCACCGCCGCCUUCCUGGUGCAGCUGCUGUGUCACGGCCACACCGGCCGGCUGUACAGCAGGCAGGAGCCGGUGACCAUUCUGGAGGCGGAUGGGGUUAAGGGCCUGUUUGGGAACUGGUCGGGCGCCUGGGUGGUGGAGUUCUACUGGUCGUGGGGCGGCCCCUGUGUCAACUAUGGGGCCACCUGGAAGGUACUGGGCCCGGGAGGUGAAAGGGCCACCACAAGCCUUCUCAGUACUCUACAAGUGACUUCACCAACAUCCUGUACACCUUCAACAUGAUGUCCCAACUCCUUUAUUCAAUGGUGUGAACAAUUAAGCUACCCGAUGAAGGAGCAGCGCACCGAAAGCUAGUGCUUCCAAAUAAAUCUGUUGGACUAUAACCCACUUGUGAUUUUUCAACCUUGUCCCACCUAGUCCAACAGCAGCACCUCCACCUCCUUUCUAAUGAACACAGCCCAUACCUCCCAGUGCUGCCAGUAAACUGCCGAUGAAAUGAUGCAGUGCCUGCACUCCUGAAAAGUUUAUAAUUUCUAACGAAACCAGCUACUCAUUCACUGCUCCAUCUGAUACACGACUUUGGAAACUUAGUGCAGGAGGCUGCAAGAAAUGAGCAGCUUUAAAACAAAAACCGCUUGGAGCUUUCAAUGAGAGCCUGAGCCCAGCAGUACGUUCUGGUUACCUUUAUUGUGGCCCAACAUUGUUACAGCUGCAGAUGCCCCCAGCAAAAGGGCAGAGAAAGAGUAGCUGUGUUUUAGACAGCUCAACAACAGGGGGAGGUGCAAGGUGCAAGGGGCAGGGCAAGGCCAACAGCAGGCCCCCGCACUACGCCUGCGUUGCCUUGCACAGUUUACAAAAAUCCCUUCCCCUUCAGAGACUCCCCACAGUGUGGAAGCUGGCCACUCGACCCAAAGACUACACACCGAUCCUCCAAAGGGUAACCCACCAUGCAAUUCCCCUACCCCUAUUGCUCAACAUUUACCCCUGACUAAUGCACCUAACCUGCACAUCCCUGGGCACUAUGGGUAUUUCAGUACUGUCAAUCCACCUGAACCUGGACAACUCGUAUAUGCCAACCAGAUAUCCCAACCCAAUCUAGUCCCACCUGCCAGCACGGGGCCCAUAUUCCCCCCAUUUGCCUUUUAAAUGUUGCAAUUGUAUCAGCCUCCACCACUUCCUCUGGCAGCUCAUUCCAUACACGUACCACCCUCUAAAUGAGAAGGUUGCCCCUUAGGUCUCUUUCAUAUCUUUCCCCUCUCACCCUAAACCUAUGCCCUGUAGUUCUGGACUCUCCCAUCCCAUAGAAAAGACUUUGUCUAUCUAUCCUAUCCAUGCCCCUCAUGAUUUUAUAAACCUCUAUAAGGUCACCCCUCAGCCUCUGACGCUCCAGGGAAAAUAGCCCCAGCCUGUUCUGUCUCUCCCUAUAGCUCAAAUCCUCCAGUCUUGGCGACAUCCUUGUAAAUCUUUUUAGAUUAGAUUAGAUUACUUAGUGUGGAAACAGGCCCUUCGGCCCAAGUCCACACCGACCUGCCGACGCGUAUAUCACCCAGACCCAUACUCCGGGGGUUUGCAAGGACUGCCACAAACACUACGUAGGACAAACAGGAAGAAAGUUAGCCACCAGGAUACACGAACACCAGCUAGCCACAAAAAGACACGACCUUCUAUCCCUCGUAGCGCAACAUAUGGAUGAAAGAAAACACCACUUCGACUGGGACAACAUCUAUCCUGGGACAGGCUAAGCAAAGACAUGCCAGAGAAUUCCUAGAGGCCUGGCACUCCAAUCACAACACCAUAAACAAACACAUAGAUCUAGAUACCAUCUAUCAACCCCUCAGAAAAUGAACAGGAAAUGACAUCACCACAAACCCCAGGAACCCUAUCCAGGACAAACAUAUAAAUCGAAAGCAGGAGACAACAGCUUCACUUCAUUUGGAGGUCGCCACUGAUGAUGUUCCCGAGCCAGUUGCUGCAAGUCAUAAAUUGAAGCCCAGAAUGAAAUAAAUGGAAAAGGAGUUGUGAAGAGAGUACCCUACUCACAGAUGGUUGACACAGUAAGGAGGGUGGAGUCUGGAGCAAACCCGAAAUGUCGAUUUUCCUGCUCCUCGGAAGCUGCCUGACCUGCAGUACUUUGCCAGCACCACUCUAAUCUUGACCCUGAUCUCCAGCAUCUGCAGUUCUAACUUUCUCCUGUAAGAAAUCAGCAGUUUUAAACCAAAAACCUGUUGCAGUUUAAAGCUCUCAUUGAGAGUAUGAGCUCAGUGUGAAGUUCAGGUAAUCUUUAUUGUGACCCAACUUUGUUACAGCUUCAGAAUCUCCCAGCAGAAAGGUGCAGAAAAAGUAGCAAUUUU